UACGGAGGGUGCAAGCGUUAUCCGGAUUCACUGGGUUUAAAGGGUGCGUAGGUGGGUUUGUAAGUCAGUGGUGAAAUCUCCGUGCUUAACAUGGAAACUGCCAUUGAUACUAUAGAUCUUGAAUGUAGUGGAGGUAGGCGGAAUGCGUCAUGUAGCGGUGAAAUGCUUAGAUAUGACGCAGAACACCAAUUGCGAAGGCAGCUUGCUACACUACUAUUGACACUGGGGCACGAAAGCGUGGGGAUCAAACAGG
rnacentral:rRNA from 1 species